CUUCCGGCCGGGCGCCAUGAUGGCGGCGCAGGGGCUCUCCAAGGCCGAGUACCUGCGGCGCUACCUGAGCGGGCCGCCCGCCGCCGAGCCCGCCCAGCCCCGCCGCCGCCGCAAGAAGAAGCCGCCGGGCGGCGCCGGCAGAGCCGGGAUGCGGAUCGUGGAUGACGAUGUCAGCUGGAAUAGCAUCGCUGCUGUCCCGGAGAAGGAGGAGGAGGAGGACGAAGGGGACAUGCCUGUGGUGGCAGAAUUUAUUGAUGAGCGUCCAGAUGAAGUGAAGCUCAUGGAGGAAUUCCGAACAAAUGCUAAAUGGAAACUUUUAGGAGACCAGAAUGAAGACUCACAAAGUUCGGAUAUUUCAGCCCAAUCUACCAUGAGGCGACAGCGCCAUGACUCCCCGGACAACUCGCCACCAAGGAGACUGCGGCACGACUCCCCAGCCAAAUCACCUCCCAGGCGACAGCGCCACGACUCCCCGGACCUGUCACCUCCCAGGCGACAGCGCCACGACUCCCCGGACCUGUCACCUCCCAGGCGACAGCGCCACGACUCCCCGGACCCCUCCCUGCCAAGAAGGAAGCGCCACGACUCCCCGGACCUGUCACCUCCCAGGCGACAGCGCCACGACUCCCCGGACCUGUCACCUCCCAGGCGACAGCGCCACGACUCCCCAGACCCCUCCCUGCCAAGAAAGAAGCGCCAUGACUCCCCGGACCCCUCCCUGCCAAGAAAGAAGCGCCACGACUCCCCGGACCUGUCACCUCCCAGGCGACAGCGCCACGACUCCCCGGACCUGUCACCUCCCAGGCGACAGCGCCACGACUCCCCGGACCUGUCACCUCCCAGGCGACAGCGCCACGACUCCCCGGACCUGUCACCUCCCAGGCGACAGCGCCACGACUCCCCGGACCUGUCACCUCCCAGGCGACAGCGCCACGACUCCCCGGACCUGUCACCUCCCAGGCGACAGCGCCACGACUCCCCGGACCUCUCCCUGCCAAGAAAGAAGCGCCACGACUCCCCGGACCUCUCCCUGCCAAGAAAGAAGCGCCACGACUCCCCGGACCUCUCCCUGCCAAGAAAGAAGCGCCACGACUCCCCGGACCUGUCCCCUCCCAGGCGACAGCGCCACGACUCCCCGGACCUGUCCCCUCCCAGGCGACAGCGCCACGACUCCCCGGACCUGUCCCCUCCCAGGCGACAGCGCCACGACUCUCCUGACAUCUCUCCAAAGAGAGUCAGGUUAGCAAUGGGGAAAAAGGGCUGCAAAACCACAGACAAGUCACAGCCAAGGGGUGUCCGAGGAGAGCAAUCUCAGCUUAGGCACGACGUCUCUGACAAGUCCGCGUCGCGUCAGAAGCGUCAGGCUACUCCAGAUCUGUCCCCUCCACGGAAGAAGAGGUAUGAUUCCGACCCAGAUUUGUCACCGCCUCGGACAAAGAGGACUGGGUCACCUAGUCUGAAAAAGCAGAGUGGAACAAAAGGUGCUUCUCCAGCCACAAAAAAGCUUAGGCUGGUGCCCUCGCCCCAGAGGUGCCUGAGGCAUGACUCUGAGUCUCCGUCUCCACGGCGGGGUAGCCGGAACGCCUCUGAUGCAGACCGCAGGCUAGGCCACGUGCGCAGCGAUUCCCCUAAGCGUGGGCCUCUCAAACAGAAUCGGAGCAAGUCUUCAGACUCUGAUUUGUCGCCUCCCCGACGGACUCUGCCAGCCGGAAAGGAUCAGCACAGUUCAAGGAGUUCCCCUGACCUCUCGCCUCAUCGCCACCGGGACACUAAGGGAUCUCCCAAGAAGGCAAACGUGAUGUCGUCUGGGGUCAAAGCUGGCUUGGUGUCAGCUGAUGUGCUGCGGAGGGAACAGCAGGAGCUCAGGAGGCAUGAGAGAAAUAACAAGCACUUGGAAGAGGAAUCCCGAUACUCGGAGACCGUCUUCCGAGACAAAUCAGGCCGCAAGAGGGACCUGGCGCAGGAGCAGCUGGAGCAGAGGCAGAAAGCUGAAGCGCAGUCCAAGAGAGACGAGCAAUACGCCAAAUGGGGAAAAGGGCUGGCGCAGGGGAGGCAACAGCAGCAGAACGUGGAAGAUGCCAUAAAAGAGAUGCAGAAGCCAUUGGCUCGUUAUAUUGACGAUCAGGAUCUGGACCGAAUGCUGAGAGAACAAGAGAGAGAGGGAGACCCCAUGGCUGAAUUCAUCAAAAAAAGGAAGGCCAAAGAGAACAAAGAAAAGAAAGAAAAGCCUAGGUACAACGGACCAGCACCUCCACUCAACAGAUUCAAUAUAUGGCCCGGGCAUUGCUGGGAUGGUGUGGACAGGUCCAACGGAUUUGAGCAACAGCGCUUUGCCAGGAUAGCCAACAAGAAGGCGGUUCAGGAGCUUGCGUACAAGUGGAGCGUUGAGGACAUGUAGACAAAGAAGAGCCACGCAGAGCAGCGCUCCUGAAGUGAUGCUACGGAGGCAGAGGUUCACCUGCUGCCACUGCCAGAGCUGUGAGGAGUGGCUCGCUCUGCCUGGACCAAGCCCUGUCCUCGGCAUUCCGCAUCCCAGUGGACCGUCUUCUGAGAGGCAAGGUUGAAUUUAGAGGAAAGCUGCCGACAGAGGAUUUUCCUGUCAGCCAGAGAGGCCGAGCACAGAGAACUGCAGUGGCGCUGCUUGAAGCAGCACGGCGGCUGAGCGUGGAGGAGAGCUGCCUGCAGGAGCACCUCAAUUCCCCGGCGCUCCCCCGUAAGGUGCUGCAGACACCGGUUUCUGCGGCUCCGAGUCGCGGAUGCUCGGCGGAGCCCGGUGGCUGUGUAACCUGUCCCGGGCUUGGAGCGGGGGGCGCCGGGGGGUCCCGGGAGAAGCGUUUCACCCGGCGGCUCCGUCCCGCAGCCGGCAGCGGGACCGGGAACCAAAAUCCCCGGCACUGGCAGUCUUGGUGGAAAUAACUUUGCAGCUCCCAGUUAAUGAAUAUUUGUAAAUGCAAGAACAUUCGGCGCCGGAAUAUCCAGAGGGCAUCCUCUCUCUGCCUGGUGCUGAACCUCCCCCGGCAGUUCCGGGCCACAACCGCUCCGUCCCCAGGGCAGUUGGGAUGUCGGCGCCGGACACGGUUUCGGGAUGAUUUAGCGCAAUCUCCAGCAAUUUGUUACACCUAAGCGGAGGCAGAUGUGCAUCCAUAUUCAUUUUGGAGCGACUUCAGAAGUUAUAACUUCAUCGGCCGAGCCAGCCCGCCGCGCAGCCCGCCAGCCUGGGCUCCCGUUCAAGCCGAGAAGGUGGGGACGGGGACGAGGACUUGUCCUUCGGCGUCCACCUGGUCCCCUCGGCGGCCGGGCAGAGGCUUUGUGGCCGGGGAUCGCCGGCUGGAGGAAUGAGGACCUUCCAGCAUCGCCUGCGGGGAGCCCGAGCUGCUCCGGCUCCGGCCAGGGUCCGCCUUACCCCCUCCCCGCUGCCCGCGAGCUUCGGGACCCUCGCUGGGCUGCCGGGCUGUAAUCCCAGGGUGCUGCGGAGCCCACGGCCGCGUCCCGGGGGCUGAGGGGAGGGAUGGCAGCAGCGGUGGCCGACGGCAGCGUGUGGCAGGACCCUCUGCCCGCGUGCCCCUGGGGCCAGGUGCGCUUGGCUGCCCCGCAGCAGAGCCGGCCACUGCAGUGCCGGGACAUUGGCCGAAGCCGGCGCCGGGAGGUCCCCAGCCCUGGCAGCGGACAUGGGGACACCGCAUCCCUCCGUCAGCCGGUGCUGCUGCAGUGGGAACUCCGCUGUGCCAGGCGGGCGAGGACGGCACCCCCCACGCGCACUACGGCGUCUGGCCCCGGCGAUGGGACGCUCUUGCGGCUUCACCCCAGCACCGGGAAGGGCUUCUCCUGCACCGCCACCUCCUGCCCUGCCGCCGCCAGGAAUCUCCAUCCAGGAUGGUUUUCCCGAUGCCAGCGCUGCCCCCCGAGCCGGCAGCACCCCCUGGCCACCUGCCCUCGCGGGGAGCGCAAGGAAAUCAUGUUUAUUUGCAAAUAGGGAUGCUGUGGAGCCAAAUGAGGGAGAUUAUUAGGGGCUCCUGGAAUUGUCAGCGCGGGCUGUUGAAUUAGAGCGCAGCCGUAACGCUCGUCAUCGCCCCGGUGCUGGGCGCUGACGUGGGGCUCCGUGCCCCCGGGCUUCCCCGCCACAAGGAGCGCGGCGCAGCCGGCUCUCUCCCCAGCUCCCUCAUCAAAUACCUGCUCGAGACGCUCAAGGUUAGCGCGGUGGGGGUCAGCCGCGCGCAAACGUUGAUUACAGAGUCGGCAGGAGCUGCUAAGAUUUCUAAUUAAGAUUAAAGAAUGCACACGGCUUAUAAAUGCUUCUUAGGAAUGUAUAAUUUGAUUAGCUUGUUUUCUCGCAUCCCUUUCGCCCCCGAGUUGGCUCAGGCGGCCCCUUGCCGGGGGGUCCCGGCUGCAGCCGCCCCUCGCCCCCUGCCAGCCCUGGGGGCGCGGAGCGGGGGCUCCCACGCCGCUGCCGCAGCAUCCCGGGCAGGAGCGGCCCUGCCAAGCCUCCCCAUGAAGGUUUUUCACGGCGGGCAGGGUCCCACGGCCAGGUGCCGUGCCCCUUCGGAGCCGGUGGCAGCCCACGAGCCCCUGGCCUGGCGCUCGGGGGGAGCUUGGACUCGAUUCCCGCACCAGGAGGGCCACCAGUGUCCCCCGCCCGCCACCGGUCCUGGUCCCAGCCCGUCGGCGGGCUCAGGGCAAGCCCGGAGCUGGGGAAGAGCUUUCCACUCGACGUACCUGAGCGGGGGGACAGCUGUGCAUCAAUAUUUAUUCCAAACUCCCAGGAAACCUGGAUGAAGCGUAAUUAUCUCAGCUCAAUCAACCCGGAUUAGCAUAACAUCGAGUCACCCAUCAGACGGGGGUUUGGUUUCUGGGAUCAAAGCCGCAUGCUGUAGCCACCGAUUAAGCGGGUGCGGGCUGGGGGCGGGGGGCAGGAGAAGAAAGCCGCGGCCCCGGCUGCUUCCCUAUUCCCGUUGUUGCCAAGUUCACUUUUUCCUCCCAAACUUCCCUGGGGCAUCGCGGGAAGCGGCUCCCCCAACCCAUCGAGCUGCACGGGAUCGCUCCCCGCGCAGCGUCUAACCCCCCAGCUCCACUCCCCUUAAUUAAGAACUAAAUAUAGAUGUUAAUUAAGGCACUGAUGAAUUUAAUUUAGAGUGGCAUUACUGCCUUAACUUCCAGAGCUCGACGCCUUGUUUGUAUAAUGUA